CGUCUGUAACCCGAGUUUAGUUAGAGCCCCUGCCGCCGGUCGCGCUUGUUUUUUUUUUUUUAUUUUUUUUUCACUUUGAAAUCGAAUUUGACAUAUGACAGAUACUUAAAUUAAACAUGGCGUCCAUUGUAAUAAAUUUUUCAUGGAGAGAUAACCUAGACAAUAUAAUAAAUGCUUGUUAGAGUAAAAAACAAAUAAGCUGUCGAAGUGCAUUGUUUAACGAAGAAGAAAUACCAAGAAAAAUGCAUGUAUUAUGUAGUUCCAGCGAGAAACGACGAAGUAAAAGUAAAAUAAGUAAUAAUAUUUGCCGGCUUUCAAUCUAAUUUAAUAAUUCAGAAAUAAUUGAGACAUUUAACUAUAUCAAUACUAGAAAUUUUAAGGUUAUAAAUAGACAGAGAGAAUUCCUGUCAGCUCUCUGAAAGCAGUAUAAAAGGAAAAUACGUUCAAAUGUAAAAUGUUUAGACGGUUUACUAAACACAUUCACAAGUGUACAAGUAUUGAUAUGAGAUGAAUGAAUACACAGGAAAAAACAAUAAGAAUGAAGUCUGAAA